rnacentral:rRNA from 1 species
UACGGGGGGGGCAAGCGUUGUUCGGAAUUACUGGGCGUAAAGGGCUCGUAGGUGGCCAACUAAGUCAGACGUGAAAUCCCUCGGCUUAACCGGGGAACUGCGUCUGAUACUGGAUGGCUAGAGAUUGGGAGAGGGAUGCGGAAUUCCAGGUGUAGCGGUGAAAUGCGUAGAUAUCGGGAGGAACACCAGUGGCGAAGGCGACUUCCUGGCCUGUUCUUGACGCUGAGGCGCGAAAGCUAGGGGAGCAAACGGG